rfam:Capsella rubella cultivar Monte Gargano unplaced genomic scaffold scaffold_2, whole genome shotgun sequence.
ACAAAGACGAGAUAUUGGUGCGGUUCAAUCAGAAACUUGUACUCUUUUUAUUUUAGAGAUCAGUUUGUUUGAUUGAGCCGUGCCAAUAUCACGUGUUUAAAU